UCAAAAGACUGCACCAUAGGUGCCAUGUU
rnacentral:piRNA from 1 species